rnacentral:rRNA from 1 species
UGGGGAAUCUUGGACAAUGGGCGCAAGCCUGAUCCAGCCAUGCCGCGUGAGUGAUGAAGGCCUUAGGGUUGUAAAGCUCUUUCACCGGUGACGAUAAUGACGGUAGCCGGAGAAGAAGCCCCGGCUAACUUCGUACCAGCAGCCGCGGUAAUACGAAGGGGGCUAGCGUUGUUCGGAAUUACUGGGCGUAAAGCGCGCGUAGGCGGAUGAUUAAGUUAGAGGUGAAAGCCCGGGGCUCAACUCCGGAAUUGCCUUUGAUACUGGUCAUCUUGAGACCGGGAGAGGAGAGUGGAAUUCCCAGUGUAGAGGUGAAAUUCGUAGAUAUUGGGAAGAACACCCGUGGCGAAGGCGGCUCUCUGGCCCGGUUCUGACGCUGAGGUGCGAAAGCGUGGGGAGCAAACAGGAUUAGAUACCCCCGUAGUCC